UACGUAGGGGGCAAGCGUUGUCCGGAAUUAUUGGGCGUAAAGAGCGUGUAGGCGGCCAGACAGGUCCGUUGUGAAAACUCGAGGCUCAACCUCGAGACGCCGAUGGAAGCCGUCUGGCUAGAGUCCGGAAGAGGAGAGUGGAAUUCCCGGUGUAGCGGUGAAAUGCGCAGAUAUCGGGAAGAACACCCGUGGCUAAGGCGGCUCUCUAGUACGGUACUGACGCUGAGACGCGAAAGCGUGGGGAGCGAACGAGG
rnacentral:rRNA from 1 species